UACAGAGACCUCAAGCGUUAUCCGGAAUCAUUGGGCGUAAAGCGUACCGAUCGGUGGUUAUGCAAGUCAGAUGUGAAAUCUCCGAGCUCAACUCGGAAUCUGUCAUUUGAAACUGCACAACUAGAGGGGCAAAGAGGAAGCUAGAACGAACGGUGUAGUAGUGAAAUGCGUUGAUAUCGUUCGGAAUACCGAUAGCGAAGGCAGGCUUCUGGGUGCCACCUGACACUGCUAGGACGAAAGCGUGGGGAGCGAAUGGG
rnacentral:rRNA from 1 species